GUGAGGAAUCUUCCACAAUGGGCGAAAGCCUGAUGGAGCAACGCCGCGUGAAGGAUGAAGGUCUUCGGAUUGUGAACUUCUUUUAUGAGUGAAGAAUAUGACGGGAACUCAUGAAUAAGCACCGGCUAACUACGUGCCAGCAGCCGCGGUCAUACGUAGGGUGCAAGCAUUAUCCGGAGUGACUGGGCGUAAAGAGUUGCGUAGGCGGUUAUGUAAGCGAAUAGUGAAACCUGGUGGCUCAACCACACAGACUAUUAUUCGAACUGCAUAACUCGAGAAUGGUAGAGGUAACUGGAAUUUCUUGUGUAGGAGUGAAAUCCGUAGAUAUAAGAAGGAACACCAAUGGCGUAGGCAGGUUACUGGGCCAUUUCUGACGCUAAGGCACGAAAGCGUGGGGAGCGAACCGGAUUAGAAACCCGAGUAGUC
rnacentral:rRNA from 1 species